GGAGAUAACAAGAUGCUGUUUGA
rnacentral:siRNA from 1 species